rnacentral:lncRNA from 1 species
AUUCAGAACUCGCUGAAGCUCUGGUGCAGUGAUGCAGCCUGGCCCCGUUGUGGUAUUUCCACCGGUUCCCACAGGACUUGGGGUUUGCAGUGGGCUUGAUAUUUUGGUCCCUUGGGGCCUUCCUGCUCUUCUCUCAAAAUCUGCAGACACAAGACUGCCUGCUCUGCCUUGAGAGUUGCUACUGCCAGUGGUGCUGUCUUUGCCCUCCUGAAACCUCUGGGGAUAGAGUUGCUGUGCUGGCUCUCUGCGCUCGGAAAACUCAUGGGGUGGAUUCCCAUUAAAACUCAUUAAUGGACUCCCAUUAAAACUUCUGCUGCUAGCGUGGGCUUCCUUAUCAGAAAAUGUGAAACUGGGCAAAGGCAUGCCAUAUAAUCUCCUAGGAGGUAGCCAGUGACUACAACCUGUUUUCUAAAGCAAUGCCUCCUGGACCGGUUGUGAUCAUCUCUCAGGGUGGCAUCUUAUUUGUGCAUGCCUGAGCCUUGGUGUCUGCCAGACACACUAAAUGUGGUUAACUGCAAAGAAACUCACUGUUCUCUCACAUUUACCGUUUAUCACAAGGCCAGCAAGGUGAACUAUCUACAGGAGCUGCACGGGGACAAGUUUAGUGCCCAACAUCUUCAGAAUAACAGUACUGGAAGCAGCUGAAGGCAGGAGAAUUAACAAGUGGUGGGAGACGUAAGACCACUGUACAAGCCCCUGAGGCAGGACAGGUGGGACUGGAGGCAGGAUUCUAUGGCCAGGGAAAGAGGAUGUCACAAAAUGGACGGGAGCCCCACCAAGAGGGACAGAGUUUCUUAAGCUGGAGCACAUGGCUGGUGACUGUCCUGACGGAAGAGUUAGCUGAGUCCUUGUUGAAAGUGCUGGUGAUAUCAGGAAGUCCUGG